rnacentral:rRNA from 1 species
GACGAACGCUGGCGGCGCGCCUAACACAUGCAAGUCGAACGAGAGAGAGGAAGCUUGCUUCCUCAAUCGAGUGGCGAACGGGUGAGUAACGCGUGAGGAACCUGCCUCAAAGAGGGGGACAACAGUUGGAAACGACUGCUAAUACCGCAUAAGCCCACAGGUCGGCAUCGACCAGAGGGAAAAGGAGCAAUCCGCUUUGAGAUGGCCUCGCGUCCGAUUAGCUAGUUGGUGAGGUAAUGGCCCACCAAGGCGACGAUCGGUAGCCGGACUGAGAGGUUGAACGGCCACAUUGGGACUGAGACACGGCCCAGACUCCUACGGGAGGCAGCAGUGGGGAAUAUUGCACAAUGGGGGAAACCCUGAUGCAGCGACGCCGCGUGGAGGAAGAAGGUCUUCGGAUUGUAAACUCCUGUUGUUGAGGAAGAUAAUGACGGUACUCAACAAGGAAGUGA